UAUCCGUGACGUCACCCAUCAUCUAUACACUGUACACCUGAGCCUGCGCCUGCACGAGCGCAUCAAAGGAGGAGGCGGCGAGGUUUCCCGGGCAAAGCUGUCACUUCGAGCUCGCGCUGGGGGAGAAACGUCGAAAGGAGGAUUCGUCGUCUGUAUUUCGGUGGAAAGGGAGACCGUGUUAAUGAGCGACGAGGUUUCCCGGGCAAAGCUUUCACUUCGAGCUCCCGCUGGGGCAGAAACGUCGAAAGGAGGAUUCGUCGUCUGUAUUUCGGUGGAAAGGGAGACCGUGUUAACGAGCGACUUUCAGCCAAAUACACCUGUGGCAGCAGGAGGCAGCGCAAGCUUCCCGGGCACUGAUUUCACAUCGAGUACCGAUGGAGGUUAAAGGUUGUAAGGUAAGUCAACGCCUUCAUUUCGGUGAGUAAAUGAAGUCCUUAAACAUAUUAUUACAUUAAAUAAACGGUUUAAAUGUUUUUGUAUAAAAUAUCACAUCACAUUAUUCUGCUUUGUGAUACCUUAUAAUGCCUUAUUGUGCCUUAUUGUGCCU